GACGAACGCUGGCGGCGUGCUUAACACAUGCAAGUCGAACGCUGAAGCUCAGCUUUUGUUGGGUGGAUGAGUGGCGAACGGGUGAGUAACACGUGAGUAACCUGCCUCCUUCUUUGGGAUAACGCCCGGAAACGGGUGCUAAUACUGGAUAUUCACUGGUCUUCGCAUGGGGGUUGGUGGAAAGGGUUUUUCUGGUGGGGGAUGGGCUCGCGGCCUAUCAGCUUGUUGGUGGGGUGAUUGCCUACCAAGGCUUUGACGGGUAGCCGGCCUGAGAGGGUGACCGGUCACAUUGGGACUGAGAUACGGCCCAGACUACUACGGGAGGCAGCAGUGGGGAAUAGUGCAGAAUGGGCGCAAGACUGAUGCAGCGACGCAGCGUGAGGGAUGGAGGCCUUCGGGUUGUGAACCUCUUUCGCUCAUGGUCAAGCCGCAACAAUGGUUGUGGUGAGGGUAGUGGGUAAAGAAGCGCCGGCUAACUACGUG
rnacentral:rRNA from 1 species